rnacentral:rRNA from 1 species
UACGGAGGGAGCUAGCGUUGUUCGGAAUUACUGGGCGUAAAGCGCACGUAGGCGGCUUUUUAAGUUCAGGGGUGAAAGUCCCGGGGCUCAACCCCGGAACUGCCCUUGAAACUGGAGAGCUAGAAUCUUGGAGAGGCGAGUGGAAUUCCGAGUGUAGAGGUGAAAUUCGUAGAUAUUCGGAAGAACACCAGUGGCGAAGGCGACUCGCUGGACAAGUAUUGACGCUGAGGUGCGAAAGCGUGGGGAGCAAACAGG